AACGAACGCUGGCGGCAGGCCUAACACAUGCAAGUCGAGCGAGGACUUCGGUUCUAGCGGCGGACGGGUGAGUAACGCGUGGGAAUGUGCCCUUCUCUACGGAAUAGCCCUGGGAAACUGGGAGUAAUACCGUAUACGCCCUAUUGGGGAAAGAUUUAUCGGAGAAGGAUCAGCCCGCGUUGGAUUAGGUAGUUGGUGGGGUAAUGGCCUACCAAGCCGACGAUCCAUAGCUGGGUUGAGAGGAUGAUCAGCCACACUGGGACUGAGACACGGCCCAGACUCCUACGGGAGGCAGCCGUGGGGGAUCUUAGACCAUGGGGGCAAACCUGAACCUGCCAUGGCGGGUGAGUGGUGGAGGCCUUUGGGUUGUAAAGCUCUUUCAGCUGGGAAGAUAAUGACGGUACCAGCAGAAGAAGCCCCGGCUAACUCCGUG
rnacentral:rRNA from 1 species